rnacentral:rRNA from 1 species
GAUGAACGCUGGCGGCGUGCCUAAUACAUGCAAGUCGAGCGAACAGACGAGGAGCUUGCUCCUCUGACGUUAGCGGCGGACGGGUGAGUAACACGUGGAUAACCUACCUAUAAGACUGGGAUAACUUCGGGAAACCGGAGCUAAUACCGGAUAAUAUAUUGAACCGCAUGGUUCAAUAGUUAAAGACGGUUUUGCUGUCACUUAUAGAUGGAUCCGCGCCGCAUUAGCUAGUUGGUAAGGCAACGGCUUACCAAGGCAACGAUGCGUAGCCGACCUGAGAGGGUGAUCGGCCACACUAGAACUGAGACACGGUCCAGACUCCUACGGGAGGCAGCAGUAGGGAAUCUUCCGCAAUGGGCGAAAGCCUGACGGAGCAACGCCGCGUGAGUGAUGAAGGUCUUCGGAUCGUAAAACUCUGUUAUUAGGGAAGAACAAAUGUGUAAGUAACUAUGCACGUCUUGACGGUACCUAAUCAGAAAGCCACGGCUAACUACGUG